CAUUUAGCUGUCAAAUGUUAGAGCAGAACGAGAGGGAAAUUGGUCUCUUCCUUGAGAUCGUCAUCUCAAAUGUAACAUUAUAUUUUUGUAACCAACCGUACCGCACGAAGGUGGAUACUCGAUAUGCUUCAAUUUUCUGAGAACAUUCGAUCACCUUUUAUAGAUGGCUACUUUGCUUUUUAGACAGAUUCCUGGACAUUUUAACAGUACUAUGACAUGGCAAC
rnacentral:lncRNA from 1 species